rnacentral:tRNA from 1 species
AUUUAUUUAAUAUAUAAAGUAUAUUUAACUUCCAAUUAAAAAGUCUGAUUAACCAGAAUAAAUA